AGCGUCUUAGAAUGAGUAAAACUGCAAAGAUUGGUUGCUAAAUGUUGUAAAAUGAAGAAAAUAUAGCCCUGUGAAGUUCGCAAAUUUUGCAUAUAUUUGUAUUACGUGCGGUAAAUUUUCGGCUAUAUUUUCGGCCUCAUUUUGCAACAAUUCGCCACCAAACUUUGCAAUUUUACUCAUUUUAAGUUGCUCUUUCCAGCUAUGGUAAUGGCUUUCGUUCUUGUCUAGAUCAAAAUUUCGUCUAAAGCUGGAGUCAUCAGUCCAUCUCUGUGUGAACGUAGACUCGAUCUCAAUAGACAAUACACAGUUCAUUUCAUUUAAACUUUAUUUAACGAGGCUCAGUAACGCAUAAUAGUUUUACAACUAAUAAACUUGUGGCCCUAAUGAUAUGUUAUGUAUACUUAUAAAAUAAUAAACAACAGUAAAACCUACAGAGUAUGCUAUGCGUGUACAUAUAUAAUAUAGUGUCUCAAGAUUAUCUAAAAAUGGAUUAAAAACCUUGUCGUUAAGUUGAUCGGUCGUACGUUUUCGGUAUAAUUCUUUCUUAAAAAUGUAUAUGGAACUACCGGUACGUAAUUUAACUAUAGGUAGUUCCAGCAUUUGGCUGUGCUUAUCGAAAAUGUACACCCUCUUUCUUUAAUUCUGUUAUAUCUCGGAGCACUGCGAAUCAACAGAUCCUUUAAUACGUAAUCUGGAGAGAUAUCAGCUGACCUUUUAUACGCCACGAGACAACGUUCAACAUCAUCAACACAAAAAGGUACCCAACCUAGAGUGCUGAACACGUCGAUACUGCUGUGUCGAGGAUGAGCAUUAAGAAUGACUCUGGCACAUCGAGUCCCAAUAGAGACAGCCUGACCUCGAAAGUAGUUAACCUUACACCACGGACAAAUACAGUAAACGCAGACCGCUCGGUAGUACAACUGGCUGACGGCAAAGACUGGCCCGUGCUCGAAACAGUUAAUACAACCCUGUUGCGUAUAGGACAUACAUAUAAGACUGUUCUAAGACCAUAAUUUCAGGCUAAUAUUGACAAUCGAUCAUUGAUAAUCUUGUUUGUAAUAUAUAACGUAUGGUAAAGUGUAUUACAAUAAUUCAGCCAUGAUAUAAUUCCUUGUACAUUUGCAUAUAAUGAAAAACAGGGCUUGUUUUAACAUAUCAGACCAAUACUCAUUAUAUACAUCACCUUAAUAUUUAUACAUGAACUUGUGGUUAAAGCUCAGCAACAGGACUUUGUAUAGCUCAGUGGGUUAGACGUAUUCAAGUGACGCCGAUACUCAUGGUUCAGCAAACUCCAUGAUUUUCUUAGACUUAGUGAUAGAUUAUAGCGUAAACGAAUGGUUGUUCAAGCAUCUCGUUGUUCAAGAAGAUCUUAUUGUUCUUCUCGCCGACAUUCCAGUCCCUUUAAACAGGCGUUUCGACUUUCAUUUAAGCAUGGUGACUUACUCCAGUACAUCAAAAUCAUCCCACCUUCCAUCCGUCUCUGCAAACCGGAUCAGAUAAACAGCCCCUUAUUGACGCCGAAUUCUUAAACUAGAGGCCUGGUAAAAAAUAACUGUUAUGUAACUAUUACAUAACUCUUUUGUUAGCUUGUGGAAAACAUCACGUUCCGUUUUUUUGGCAAAGCUUUCGAUCCAUAUAAGGGACUGGUCAUAAAGUAACUGCUAGGGUGGGCUGGAGGUAAAUCACAAAUUUUGCCAAUAAGUUUGGUGACCCAUCUUAGAAUGCAGAUAAAAAUUUCAAAGCCCAUCUAAUCUUACCAAAUUUAUUUC